rnacentral:snRNA from 1 species
GAUCAAAGUGUAGUAUCUGUUCUUAUCAGCUUAAUAUCUGAUAUUUCCCCCAUUGGGGGAUUUCGAUAUUAAACUGAUUUUUGGAACUGGGAGAAGAUGCUGGGGCUUGCUCCGACUUCUCCACGGGUUGGCC